UCUCGGGGGCACGGGGGGAGGAAUUGGCGGGGGAGCACCACAACGGGUGGAGCUUGCGGUUUAAUUGGAUUCAACGCCGGAAAUCUUACCGGGACCGACAGCAAUAUGAAGGCCAGGCUGAAGACUUUGCCGGAUUAGCUGAGAGGUGGUGCAUGGCCGUCGUCAGUUCGUACUGUGAAGCAUCCUGUUAAGUCAGGCAACGAGCGAGACCCACGCCCACAGUUGCCAGCGUACUCUCUGGAGUGACGGGUACACUGUGGGGACCGCCGCUGCUAAAGCGGAGGAAGGAAUGGGCAACGGUAGGUCAGUAUGCCCCGAAUAUCCCGGGCUACACGCGAGCUACAAUGGUUGGUACAAUGGGUAUCUACCCCGAAAGGGGACGGGAAUCUCCUAAAACCAAUCUUAGUUCGGAUUGAGGGCUGCAACUCGCCCUCAUGAAGCUGGAAUCCGUAGUAAUCGCGUUUCAACAGAACGCGGUGAAUACGUCCCUGCUCCUUGCACACACCGCCCAGA
rnacentral:rRNA from 1 species